rnacentral:rRNA from 1 species
AGUGAACGCUGGCGGUAGGCCUAACACAUGCAAGUCGAACGGCAGCACAGUAAGAGCUUGCUCUUACGGGUGGCGAGUGGCGGACGGGUGAGGAAUACAUCGGAAUCUACUUUUUCGUGGGGGAUAACGUAGGGAAACUUACGCUAAUACCGCAUACGACCUACGGGUGAAAGCAGGGGAUCUUCGGACCUUGCGCGAUUGAAUGAGCCGAUGUCGGAUUAGCUAGUUGGCGGGGUAAAGGCCCACCAAGGCGACGAUCCGUAGCUGGUCUGAGAGGAUGAUGAGGCACAAUGGAACAGAGACACGGUCCAGACUCCUACGGGAGGCAGCAGUGGGGAAUAUUGGACAAUGGGCGCAAGCCUGAUCCAGCCAUACCGCGUGGGGGAAGAAGGCCUUCGGGUUGUAAAGCCCUUUUGUUGGGAAAGAAAAGCAGCAGGUUAAUACCCCGCUGUUCUGACGGUACCCAAAGAAUAAGCACCGGCUAACUUCGUG